AAACAUUGCCUUUAGAACUAUUAUUAAAGGUUAAUCCUGCCCAGUGAAACUUCAACGGCCGCGGUACCCUAACCGUGCAAAGGUAGCAUAAUCAUUUGCCUUUUAAUUGUAGGCUAGUAUGAACGGAUAAACGAAAUUCUAACUGUAUCAUUUUUAUAAACUAAAAAUUAGACUUCAGGUGAAGAUACCUGAAUUAUAUUGAAAGACAAGAAGACCCUAUAGAGUUUUAGUAACUACUAUUAACCCUAAAAUUAAUUACUUUGGUUGGGGCGACCUAGGAUUAUAUAAAACAUCCUUUAAUAACAAGAAUUAUCAUUCUUACUAACGAUCCUGAUUAUCAGAUUUCUAAACUUAACUACCUUAGGGAUAACAGGCUUAUCUUCCUAAAGAGUCCAAAUUGACAGGAAGGUCUGGCACCUCGAUGUUGGCUUAGAGUAACCUAUUAAUGCAAAAGUUAAAUAAGGUCGGUUUGUUCAACCGUUAAAUCUCUACGUGA
rnacentral:rRNA from 1 species